AAGGAACGCUGGGGCAAGGCCUACCACAUGCAAGUCGAGCGCGCCUUCGGGUGAGCGGCGGACGGGGUUAGUAACGCGUGGGAACGUGCCCUUCUCUACGGAAUAGCUUCUGGAAACGGAGAGUAAUACCGUAUACGCCCUUUGGGGGAAAGAUUUAUCGGAGAAGGAUCGGCCCGCGUUAGAUUAGGUAGUUGGUGGGGUAACGGCCUACCAAGCCUACGAUCUAUAGCUGGUUUUAGAGGAUGAUCAGCAACACUGGGACUGAGACACGGCCCAGACUCCUACGGGAGGCAGCAGUGGGGAAUCUUAGACAAUGGGGGCAACCCUGAUCUAGCCAUGCCGCGUGAGUGAUGAAGGCCUUAGGGUCGUAAAGCUCUUUCGCCUGUGAUGAUAAUGACAGUAGCAGGUAAAGAAACCCCGGCUAACUCCGUGCCAGCA
rnacentral:rRNA from 1 species